GCCUCGAUAGCUCAGUUGGUAGAGCAGGGGAUUGAAAAUCCCCGUGUCGGUGGUUCGAUUCCGCCUCGAGGCA
rfam:Enterovibrio pacificus strain CAIM 1920 contig018, whole genome shotgun sequence.